rnacentral:misc_RNA from 1 species
GAUGAAGAACGCAGCGAAAUGCGAUAAGUAAUGUGAAUUGCAGAAUUCAGUGAAUCAUCGAAUCUUUGAACGCACAUUGCGCCCGCCAGUAUUCCGGCGGGCAUGCCUGUUCGAGCGUCAUUACAACCCUCAGGCCCCCGGGCCUGGCGUUGGGGAUCGGCGGAGCCCCCCGUGGGCACACGCCGUCCCCCAAAUACAGUGGCGGUCCCGCCGCAGCUUCCAUCGCGUAGUAGCUAACACCUCGCGACUGGAGAGCGGCGCGGCCACGCCGUAAAACACCCAACUCUUCUGAAGUUGACCUCGAAUCAGGUAGGAAUACCCGCUGAACUUAAGCAUAUCAAUAAGCGGAGGA